rnacentral:rRNA from 1 species
AACGAACGCUGGCGGCGUGUUUAAGACAUGCAAGUCGAACGGGUUGAAGUUGUAGCAAUACCGCUUCAACCAGUGGCGCACGGGUGCGUAACACGUGAGUUACAUGCCCUGCAGUGGGGAAUAGCCCGCCGAAAGGCGGAUUAAUACCCCAUGGUCCCGCAAGGGUAAAGGUGGCGAAAGCUGCCGCUGCAGGAUUGGCUCGCGGCCUAUCAGCUAGUUGGCGGGGUAACGGCCCACCAAGGCGACGACGGGUACCUGGUCUGAGAGGAUGAUCAGGCACACUGGAACUGAGACACGGUCCAGACACCUACGGGUGGCAGCAGUCGAGAAUAAUUCACAACGGGCGAAAGCCUGAUGUGCAACGCCGCGUGGAGGAUGAAGGUCUUCGGAUUGUAAACUCCUGUCAUCGGGGAGUAAGACCUGGGCGUGAAUAGCGCACAGGGUUGAUAGUACCCGAAGAGGAAGGGACGGCUAACUUCGUGCCAGCCGCCGCCGUAACAC